rnacentral:rRNA from 1 species
AUUGAACGCUGGCGGCAUGCUUUACACAUGCAAGUCGAACGGCAGCACGGGAGCAAUCCUGGUGGCGAGUGGCGAACGGGUGAGUAAUAUAUCGGAACGUGCCCAGUCGUGGGGGAUAACGCAGCGAAAGCUGUGCUAAUACCGCAUACGAUCUACGGAUGAAAGCGGGGGAUCGCAAGACCUCGCGCGAUUGGAGCGGCCGAUAUCAGAUUAGCUAGUUGGUGGGGUAAAAGCCCACCAAGGCGACGAUCUGUAGCUGGUCUGAGAGGACGACCAGCCACACUGGAACUGAGACACGGUCCAGACUCCUACGGGAGGCAGCAGUGGGGAAUUUUGGACAAUGGGCGCAAGCCUGAUCCAGCAAUGCCGCGUGCAGGAUGAAGGCCUUCGGGUUGUAAACUGCUUUUGUACGGAGCGAAACGGCUCUCUUUAAUACAGGGGGCUAAUGACGGUACCGUAAGAAUAAGCACCGGCUAACUACGUG